UGAGGAAUAUUGGUCAAUGGACGCAAGUCUGAACCAGCCAAGUAGCGUGCAGGAUGACGGCCCUAUGGGUUGUAAACUGCUUUUAUAUGGGGAUAAAGUGGGGAACGUGUUCCCUUUUGCAGGUACCAUAUGAAUAAGGACCGGCUAAUUCCGUGCCAGCAGCCGCGGUAAUACGGAAGGUUCGGGCGUUAUCCGGAUUAAUUGGGUUUAAAGGGAGCGUAGGCCGUUUGGUAAGCGUGUUGUGAAAUGUAGGAGCUCAACUUCUAGAUUGCAGCGCGAACUGUCAGACUUGAGUGCGCACAACGUAGGCGGAAUUCAUGGUGUAGCGGUGAAAUGCUUAGAUAUCAUGAAGAACUCCGAUUGCGAAGGCAGCUUACGGGAGCGCAACUGACGCUGAAGCUCGAAGGUGCGGGUAUCGAACAGG
rnacentral:rRNA from 1 species